AGCGAACGCUGGCGGCAGGCCUAACACAUGCAAGUCGAACGAACUCUUCGGAGUUAGUGGCGGACGGGUGAGUAACACGUGGGAACGUGCCUUUAGGUUCGGAAUAACUCAGGGAAACUUGCGCUAAUACCGAAUGUGCCCUUCGGGGGAAAGAUUUAUCGCCUUUAGAGCGGCCCGCGUCUGAUUAGCUAGUUGGUGAGGUAAAGGCUCACCAAGGCGACGAUCAGUAGCUGGUCUGAGAGGAUGAUCAGCCACAUUGGGACUGAGACACGGCCCAAACUCCUACGGGAGGCAGCAGUGGGGAAUCUUGCGCAAUGGGCGAAAGCCUGACGCAGCCAUGCCGCGUGAAUGAUGAAGGUCUUAGGAUUGUAAAAUUCUUUCACCGGGGACGAUAAUGACGGUACCCGGAGAAGAAGCCCCGGCUAACUUCGUG
rnacentral:rRNA from 1 species